rnacentral:lncRNA from 1 species
AAUACGUGACAAAUAAUUCCUACACGAGCCACUAGUUCGCUUCUCCAGUCGACUCAAGGCGGCACGUGCCACAGAAAAAUGAUAUUCUUUUUGAAAAAUUAGCAACUUUUUUUAUUUUUAUCGAUUUUUAUUUAUGUAUUUAUUUUUUUUUUCUAACAGCUCAUUUUUGCGACAGGUGUAACAGCUAUAUAAUAAAAUUCCUUGCCGCGGUGAAACGAGACGGGUUCACCACGAAAAUGUUGAGACUGCUUUCUGACUAGACGCCAACCUUAUUGUUAUGCUGAUGUUUUCAUUUCAUUUUUCGGUAGUUGUUUGCUUAUAUUUUUACAAUUUUGAAAUGACUAUAUUCAGAUCACAUAUUUUGAACAUGCUGACGCGGUUCCCUUUCUUCGCCUGGUUACUGCGUCUUUGAUUUAUUGACUUUUUCCAUAAUCUAUAGAGCAUUUCAUGGAAAUAUCAUGCUAUUAAGUGACCGACAAAGAACUUGUCCCGACUACCAGUUGACAUGAAUAAUUCAAGUCGAAAGAAACCUUUGGGAUUGACGGAAUGAAAAUAUGGACAAACAAAAUUAGACCAGAAAGAAACAAAACAAAAACAAAACAGGAAAACUAAUCAAUUUUUGUUACUUUGAAAAGUUCAGCCAAAAUAAGCAAGGCUGCGAAAAUAUGCUAUCCACAUUCUCGGCUGUUUACGACGAUGCUCACAACGUUGUCGCCCGCCAGCAGGACAUGUUGAGCCGACAAGUCUCCCUGCAACAACUGGGUGAAAAUAAUUCUCAAGGAGAUCACCGAAGCAUUUUUAAGGACUAUGCAAUCAAGUCGUGAGUCCUAACGACCGGACUAAGAGAGUCCGGUCGGAGUCGGGACUACGCACCACCAGACAAGCAAGGUGGUGUUGCUUGCCAACUGGAUGGCAUCGUUCGUACCUCAACCCCCGAAGCUUCUUUUGGAUCUGCCGUCCACCGGAUGCGACUGACGACAGACGCAAUGAAAGUGAAACCGAUAUCCUGAAAACGUGAAUUUAACUGGUGGGAGGCGAUUAUAUAUGGUCGAGUUCAACGACUGCACCAUUGGAUAUCCAUCGCGAAGAUUAAACGACGGGCAGCCGGGCUCAGCACGGCAAUCUAUUUCGGGUCGUUUGCCAAGUUCCACUCCACGAGUUAACAGUGUCGCUUUGACUCCACCACCUGAGAACGUCAACAUUUAUUUAACGCAAGGACAACCUCGUUUGAUGUUGCAUCCACCGGUGUCGAGGAUCGAAGGUGUUUACGAGGAUGACCUUCAUUCAGUUUCCCACCUGACAUCUCUAAUUGGACCCCACCAUCUAGUACCUCAGCUGAUUUAAUUAUCUGCAAAUGAAACCUGGAAAAGCUGGAAAUGCUCUGCGACAUGAAAGCAGAAAUAACCAAGACAGCGAAAAUAUGCAUUUCCAUAUUCCCGGCUGUUUACGACGAUGUUCACAAUCUUGUCUAAGGUAAAAAAACCUUUCGUUUAGCCGUUCCAAAGUUAAUUUAUAUUUUGCCUUUGGGAGUUGAUUCCUGGAUCAUUACUUUGGAUCCGGACAUUUCGCCGAAGAGUUUUUCACACCUCGUGCAGUAGUUCGCAACGGAUAUCAAACGCCACGGUUUGGAGAGAAGGUAGUUAAGGUCUGGUCAGAGUGGAAGAAUUUUGUUGGACAAGGUGGUUAUUUUCUGACUCUUGAUGAAACCUCGCGCCGGUAAAACAGACCACAGCAAGUCCCACUUAGACUCCAACAUUUUUCGCGCCAGUGAACGGAACUGAACGACAUCUAGUGUCGACCAUUCAUUUAUUUUAACACGAUACUGAAAAUCCUUGCUCCUUGCCCUGCUCAAACGGUCACGCAUCGAAGGGUGAGUCUUUAAUCAUUUGUGUUAUAACAUUUCCUUAUGACUUUCAACUAACUAUCGCAACUUUGACGUAAAAAAAAACUGACGGUGUGUCUCUUCUCUCGCCGCUCUGGAAAAUGUGAACUUUAUUUUCCUGAUCCUGAAUUCGUCCGUGAUAGUGUAACCAUCCUCAUUUUGGAUCGAAGCUGGAAAACAUAUAACGUGGUGUUGCUUGCCGACUGGUUCACAUCGUUCGAAUCUCGACACUGGUAGAUGCCCGAAGCUUCUUUUGGGACUGCAGUCCACCGGAUGCGACUGACGACAAACACAAUCAAAGUGAAUCCAAUAUCCUGAAAACGUGAAUUUACCUGGUGGAAGGCGAUUAUGGCGAGUUCAACUACUGCACCGUCGGCUAUCCAUCGCCAAGAUAAAACUAUAGGCAGCCUGGCUCUCUCUCCCGGUUCAGUACGGCAUUCUAUUUCGAGUUGAUUACCCAGUUUAACACGACGAGUUAACUGUGUCAAUCUUGACUCCUCCACCUGUCAAAAUGUCAACAUUUAUUUCACGCAAGAUUUGAUACCUGAGCCAAUAUCCAACAUCAUCUAUGUUAGCAACUAAGACCAGUUUUGCUUCUGUCCGUAUCAACCUGGAAUCAGCAGCUACCUCAGAUCCAUCAAUCGGGCAGGUGAACCUUAUUUGAUGUUGUAGUCACCGGUGUUUGUCGACUCAUCUCUUCCUCACCUUUCUUUGAAUCCUCGUGUACGUUCAUGUGAGUGUGAACGUAUUCACGAGGAUGACCUUCCUCCUGUUUCCCACCUAACAGCUCUAACUGGACCGAUAUAAUUCUCUGCGAAUGGAACCCUGAACUGCUCGGUGGCAUCAACCUGCCUUAAAGGCCAUACUUGCAUUGAUUAAGCCAGAAAAGCACAGCAAAGAAAUCAUUUUCUCGCGUUCGAGUGUCC